UACGAACUGUGCAAACGUUAUUCGGAAUCACUGGGCGUAAAGGGAGCGUAGGCGGGUUCUUAAGUAAGGUGUUUAAUCCCGGGGCCCAACCCCGGACCGGCACUUUAAACUGGGAAUCUUGAAUAGUGGAGAGGUCGGUGGAAUUGGGGGUGUAGCGGUGGAAUGCGUAGAGAUCCCCAAGAACACCAGUUGCGAAGGCGGCCGACUGGACACAUAUUGACGCUGAGGCUCGAAAGCAUGGGGAGCAAACAGG
rnacentral:rRNA from 1 species